rnacentral:rRNA from 1 species
UACAGAGGUCUCAAGCGUUGUUCGGAUUCAUUGGGCGUAAAGGGUGCGUAGGCGGCGCGGUAAGUCGGGUGUGAAAUCUCGGAGCUUAACUCCGAAACUGCAUUCGAUACUGCCGUGCUUGAGGACUGGAGAGGAGACUGGAAUUUACGGUGUAGCGGUGAAAUGCGUAGAUAUCGAGAGGAACAUCGGUGGCGAAGGCGGCCAACUGGACGAGUACUGACGCUGAGACACGAAAGCGUGGGGAGCAAACAGG